rnacentral:rRNA from 1 species
GGACUACUGGGGUAUCUAAUCCCGUUUGCUCCCCUGGCUUUCGUGUCUCAGCGUCAGCACAGCCCCAGCUACCUGUUUUCACCAUUGGCGUUCCAAAUGAUAUCUACGCAUUUCACCGCUCCACCAUUUGUUCCGGUAGCCCCUAGCUGGCUCAAGAAAAGCAGUAUACCAAGCAGUUCCACGGUUAAGCCGUGGGAUUUCACAAGGUACUUACGAUUCCGCCUACACACGCUUUAAGCCCAGUGAUUCCGCCUAACGCUUGGCACCUCUGUCUUACCGCGGCUGCUGGCAC